GACGAACGCUGGCGGCGUGCUUAACACAUGCAAGUCGAACGGAAAGGCCUGCUUUCCCUUGUGGAUUGCGGGUACUCGAGUGGCGAACGGGUGAGUAACACGUGAGUGAUCUGCCCCCAACUUGGGUAUAAGCCUGGGAAACUGGGUCUAAUUCCCGAUAGGACUGCAGGGUGGUGCCUGUGGUGGAAAACGAUUUUCUAGUGGUUGGGGAUGAGCUCGCGGCCUAUCAGCUUGUUGGUGGGGUAAUGGCCUACCAAGGCGGCGACGGGUAGCCGGCCUGAGGGGGUGGACGGCCACAUUGAGACUGAGAUACGGCCCAGACUCCUACGGGAGGCAGCAGUGGGGAAUAUUGCACAAUGGGCGGAAGCCUGAUGCAGCGACGCCGCGUGGGGGAUGACGGCCUUCGGGUUGUAAACUCCUUUCGACCGCGAGGAAGCCACCUGGUUGGAAGGGUGGUGACGGUAGUGGUAGAAGAAGCACCGGCUAACUACGUG
rnacentral:rRNA from 1 species